UACAUGGGGUGCAAACGUUGCUCGGAAUUAUUGGGCGUAAAGCGCACGUAGGCGGUUUGUUAAGUCGGAUGUGAAAUCCCUCGGCUCAACUGAGGAAGUGCACCCGAAACUGGCAGGCUUGAGUACUAAAGAGGGUCGCGGAAUUCCCGGUGUAGAGGUGAAAUUCGUAGAUAUUCGGAAGAACACCAGUGGCGAAGGCGGCUCACUGGACCGGUAUUGACGCUGAGGUGCGAAAGCGUGGGGAGCAAACAGG
rnacentral:rRNA from 1 species